GGAAAAUAGGGUGUCAGGAGCUCUUUCAGGAACUGUGGACCUUGAUUGUUAAGACUUUUAAAGGUCAGCAGGCCAAUUUUAAAUUUAUGUUUAACAUUUAAUUGGAAGCCAAUGGAGGGAGUGGAGAACAGUUGUUAUGUGGGAUGAACGAGUUUGUUUGAUCGUCCGGUGGAAUCAAGUGUUGUAACCUGGCUAUGUUUCUCAGCUGAAAGAAGAAAGAAAGAAGCCAUAUUACAUGUAUAUGGCUGAAAGAUAUUGUCAUGGUAGAG